GAAAAGUGUUCAACAGAAAGCAUUUAAAGGAACUCUCGAAUUCUCAGCCGUUAAAAGGUAUAUCAGAUGAGUUGCUCCAUUAAGGUUUGUUACUGAAAAGCAAAACUGGCAGGCUGUAUUUUUGCAAUUAUAGAAGAAUAAUAGCCAUGCAGCCAGAAAAAAAUGCAGUCCUAUACAUCUUGAUCAUAAAUAUGGAUGUACUUAUAAUGACCUAUUCUCAAAUGAACACUUAAAUCUAUUCCAUCACAGUUUGUUUAGCUGCACAUAAAAGACUUGUACACAGCACAAAUACAUCAUAACAUUGUAAAGUAUGUAACACUGCAACCUCUAGGAAGCUGUCAUCACUUUAAUUGCAUAUUUAGGAAAACAUUUUUCAAAGUGCCACAUUUUGCAAAGCACUUGCAAAUUCUGGAGCUCUGCAGUUUAUCCUGCAAGUUUUGCCAGUGUGGUUAGAUGAGCAUUUUAUGCUUCCUAGACAAAAUGAUGCAGACAAUGGUCCUUCUGUGACGAAGGAGGGAGGUCUUACUGAGCAGUGCUGAGUUUCUCUCCCCGCAGUCCCUCUGGAGGUAGAUGGACCAUAUCUGCUCUCCCUGAUUAAAAUGGAAGAUGUGUUAAGAACAUCUGCAGGCAGAUGGCAGUUAAGAGCCCAAACUAAUGUAUAUUAACAACUGUUUAAAUGCUGAUUUCUUCUGAUUCUGUGUUGACCUUACAACCACAAGAAAAUAGCCCCCAGCCAACGCAAUUGAGAAGACAAAGCCCAGCAGUGCCCAGCUAUUAAUGACCAGGACUCAGAGUGCCCAGGAAGAUGUCAUGGAGCAUCAGGUGCAACAUGCAUAUUCAUAUCUCCGCUCCUUUGUGUCUGACUGAACUGUUGGCCAGGAUUUACAAAAGCAAGGGAAGCUCUGUCACCACUGAAAAGGAUGUUAAUAUUUGGAAAGUUGCAAGAAUUAUCUUGUAUUUACUUUUCUCCUUUUUUUUCUUUGUCAUCUCUUCACUGUUGAAAACUGGUGCUCUGUGGUUCCACAACAAUUUGUACUUCUCUGAGUCUUCAAAUAAUCAGAAAUACCAGUAGACCUCUUAAUUCUGAACUCUAUUACCUAAGGGUGACAAAGGUUAUUCAAGAUUCAGAAGUUCAGGAAUUAUUUGUCAAUUUAAAAGUUGAAAAUCUGCCUUUCCUUCUUAAAAUUUUCUUAUAUGUGUUUUUCAAUCAAUGUCUGUUUCUUUUUCUGUUGGCCUCAUUAA
rnacentral:lncRNA from 1 species